rnacentral:lncRNA from 1 species
GUAAGUUCCUGCUGUCACUGUCUUUGCAUUAGUAAAUGUGGCUCUCAGGGAUCUGGCUGGAGCAUAGGUUGGAUAGAAUUUUACACACCCCAAAUGCAAAAGCGAGAGUGAAGCAGUUUGUUGGAAAACGCAACACAACUGCAAGAGAUCAAUCUGCCUUGUUUGUUUGCUUUUUAAAAGUUCAUCCUCUUGAAACAUGCUAAUUUAUACUUAAACAAUUGGGGCCUGCAACAAGGUGUUGCAGUAUGUGUUUACUCAACAGAAGUGUUCGUAUUCAGAAUGUCUGCCAGUCAUACACUCCUCCAAAAUGCUAAAUUCUAAUUUUCUGUUUCUCAUUGGCAUGCUGAAUCUCCAUUGGAGGAGGGGAUGUAAAUAUCUGUCUUUUGUUUCUCCUUAGCCCUGUUUGGUCUGCAUUUCAGUCAGCUUCCAUCACCUGCAUUCACUAUUAGAGAAAGUGAUAUGCAGUGCAACUUUGUUUAUCGAUCUGGUACCUUUUUUGCAGGUGCUCUGCUAUUCCACUGCCCAUUUUUAAUUUUUAAUUGUUUGCUGAUCAUGUAUGGGAAGAAAGUAUUUACUAUUACGUAUAUUCAUUAAUAGGGUUUUUACGUAUACUUUAUUUAUAGUUGCUGGAUACUGUUAAGCAUCGCAUAGAUAACUGGGUAUUAUACUGAAAACCUAAUGAAAAAUGUAUUUCUGAUCAGUGGUCAAAUGGUUAGGGUGGGGGAAGCCUCACUCUCUGAAAUCCACCAGUUGUGGUCAACUUGUGGUCCUUCGUAACCCUCUGAAAAAAAGGAGCAAAGAGAUUGUCAAAUAGUAGGGUGGCCAGACUCCUGCUCCCUCGAGCACUGACCCUUCUUUAAAGAGUUGAUAGCAAUCUCUAGCCCUCUGUGGCUCUACAGAUUUGCAGCACACCAGGCUUCCAUCUAUGCUACUGGAGAGUAUGAGUUCCUGCACAGCUGCCUCUGUUGAAGUUGAACUGAAUGGUAAAGCCACUGUCCCUGGGUAUUUAAGUGGUUUAUUUUCUGCAUCCUGUUGUUCUUCCAUGGAGCUGAAAGAUAUAAAAUUGCAUGGUUCUCUCCCUGUCACAAUUCUAUCCACACAACUGCCCUGUGAGGUGAGCUAGGCAUGGUGGCUGACCCAAGGUUACUCAAUGAGUCACUUAGAUGAAUAAACCCCAAAAGUUAUAGACAAGGGAUGCUGGUGGCGCUGUGGUCUAAACCACAGAGCCUAGGGCUUGCUGAUCAGAAGUUCACGGUUCAAAUCCCCGCUACGGUGUGAGCUCCCGUUGCUCGGUCCCAGCUCCUGCCAACCUAGCAGUUUGAAAGCACGUCAAAGUACAAGUAGAUAAAUAGGUACUGCUCCGGCAGGAAGGUAAACGGCGUUUCCUUUUUUAAAUAAUUUUUUAUUAAAUUUUCCAUUAUACAAAUUCGCCAUAUCAAACAGUUUUCACAAAUUUCAACUUUUUGGACUUCCAUCAGCUUCUCUGCCAAUCAUCCAUAUUUUUCCAUUUUUACACAGUUUUUAAAUUUAAUAUUGCAUUCCAAUAUAACCCUUACUGUCCUAUUACUGUUUAACAAUACUCUAACUUUCACAAAGCCUCUUUAAAUCCCACUAGCGUUGUUUGUUCAUCACAUAUACUUUUCAGAUAUUCAGCAAAUUUUCCCCAGUCCUCGAUGAACUUGUGGUCCCGUUAAUAUCUAAUCUUCCCAGUUAGUUUGUCCAGUUCUGCAUAAUCUAUAAGUUUCAUUCUCCAUUCUUCAAGAGUCGGUAGUUCAGGUAAACGGCGUUUCCAUGCGCUGCUCUGGUUCCCCAGAAGCAGCUUAGUCAUCCAGGCCACAUGACCCGGAAGCUGUCUGCGGACAAAUGCCGGCUCCCUCGGCCAGUAAAGUGAGAUGAGUGCUGCAACCCCAGAGUCGUCCGCAACUGGACCUUAUAGUCAGGGGUCCCUUUACCUUUAUAGUGUCAUAAGAACAUACGAAGAAUCUGCUGGAGAAGGCUAAUGCCUCAUCUAGUCCAUCAGCCUGUUCCCACAGUGGCCAAGACAGAUGCUGGUGGUAAACCAGGAAGCAGGUUUCUAGCACAAGAGCAGCUGUGGAGGCAGAGCAUAGCCAUCAUGACUAGUAGCCCUGUGCCCCAAGAAUUUGUCCAAUCCUCUUGGCCAUCGCUUCCUCCCGUGGGAGCGAGUUUCAUGGUUUAACUACGUGCUGCUUGAAGAAGUUUGUCCGUUUGUGACAUGCGCAGUACAAACAAAAUUUGGCCUGCAUUGCAGCGUCAACAACCUCACCAACUUGAAGCUGGACACCUUUUUCCUUUUGCUAUGUUUUCUUCACCAUCAUGUUUUCUUUCAAUAUCCUCCUAUCUUUUCCGUGCAAUUUUAUUGCACCUUCAUGAGACAAGAGCUGUGGUGUCAGCUUCACAACAAAGGUUGAUGUAAAUCUUAGUUUUAAACUUGAGGAUGCUAUUCGGUUUAAAGAGGUAGAAAGAAUGAAGUGAACACUCCUAAUUGCACAAUCUGAACCAUGUCUACUCAGAGUUGAAUUCAAUGAGGCUCACUCCCAGGGUAAGUGAAGUUAGGCUUGCAGCCUUAGUAACUUUUCUCUAAAUUUUUUUUUUUUAAAUGAUGUUUAUUGAGAAUUUUAAAAUUAC